AUGAGACUGGCCGGGACACACAGCCGAGCAGGCCGCCACCCGAGGGGCGACCCGGGCGUGAGGGCCCGGACCCCGGACGCGGCCCUGCGCCCCUGCGGGUGUGCACACGGACCCCUGGCGGGCGCUGCGGGACCACCCUCUGCUCCGCCCGCGGCCACCAUGCGGGGAGGCCACCCGAGGGGCGACCCCGGGCGUGAGGGCCCGGACCCCGGACGCGGCCCUGCGCCCCUGCGGGUGUGCACAGGGCCCUCGGGCGCGCGCUGCGGGGCCGCCCUCUGCUCAGCGCACGGGCUGCGGCCACCGUGCGGGGAGGCCACCCGAGGGGCGACCCUGGGCGUGAGGGGAGGCCACCCGAAGGGUGACCCGGGGCUGGAGGGCCCUGGGGUGCGCGCUGCGGGGCCGCCCUCUGCUCAGCGCGGGCCGCGGCUCCGGAGGGGAGGGCGCCUGCACACCCCGGGCCGGGCCGCGGCCGGCAAAGGGCGGACUUGGGGCCCUGGGCCGCUGCCGGCUGGUGGGGAGACCCCGGGGAAUCCGGCAUCUCCCGAGACCACCCGCGGGAGCGCUCCGCCUCGACCCCUGCGCGGAGCUGCUCCGGACCCUGGCAGCGGGCUCCUCACGUCCUCAAGGAAAUCUGUACUAAGGAAAAACAAUGCCUGCAUUUAGGAACUCUUUUUUUGCAUCAAGUUAAACCUGCCUUUUAAUGCCAUUUCCACGAAGUUUUCUAAGCCCCCUCAUCUGCUGGAUACUAGUGUAAAAACCAGUUUUUAAAAGAAAACCUCACCCUUCCAAACGCAGCCUCUCAAGAAUCUUGAGACAAAAUGGCUGUGCUGAUGGUCAGGUUCCGACCCGGGAGAGGGCGGUCACUGUUGAAGCCGAAUUCGGUCCUGAGAGGAGGGGCGUGGUGGGGGCGGAGGGCGGAGUGACCACACAGACCCCGGGAGGCGGGGAAAAGCGGGCCUGAGGCGAGCAGCCCGCAGACUCGUUUACUUCAGGUGCUACAGCAGCUUAUAUAGCCAAGGCAGCCAAUCCGGUCAAGGGGCGGUCUAUGCCCCAACCAAUCACAGCCUGUUGCCAGGCAGUUUCCAAAGCCAUCCAAUCACAGCCUGUUGCCAGUCAGUCUUUGUUGUCAUGUGGUUUCUGAAGCCAUCCAAUCACAGCCUGCUACCAGGCAGGCUCUGUUGCCAGGCAGUUUCUGAAACCAUCCAAUCACAGCCUGUUGCCAGUCAGGCUCUGUUGUCAUGGGGUUUCUGAAGCCAUCCAAUCACAGCCUGUUGCCAGGCAGUUUCUGUUGUCAGCGGCCAUCUUGGCAUGACCUUCUCACCUUCUCAUUCCACCACAGGUCACCAAAGAGGCUCCAGAGUGACCCUGAGUUUGAGGAAAGAGUUCCAGUGGCUUGCUUUGGACAGAAGACAUCUGCAAACACGUUCUCACUGGGUGCUUCUGUGACACGCUCUGCAUGCAAGGGGACUCUCCUCAGUGUGGGUCUCAGCGCUCUGUGUCCUGGGUCAGCCUCAGGGGGCACCCAGGCUGCCAGCGUGCCUGCAGUCACAGCACUGGACAGUGCACGCUGGGGCGGCCCUGCCUGAGUAUGCAGGGACUGCUCCACGACCCCUCUGUGGCUGUGGCUCCAGCUGCAGGCCGCAGUCUUCCACGAAGCGGCCUGCUUUAAUCAGGCGCCAGAGCUGACCUCUGCCGUUUAAGCUUGUGCGUAGGCUUCCCUUCAGUGAUGGCACGCACAGGUGAGAGGAACAGCAGGAGGGACACGGCGUGGGGCAGGGUCCCGGCCUGGAUGUCUGGCGUGGGCCUAUCUCACAGCCUGUGUUUGCGUGGGGCUGUGGCUGGAUUGCACCUGCCUGGCUGCUGCUGCCACCGGGCCCUGCAGCGCCGUUCACGAGGCCGCUGACUCAGGGUUGAUGCACCUCACUGUGACGCAGCCCUGCCUUGUUCUUUUCCAGGAGCCGACUCGCGGCCGGUGGGUGCGACGCUUGCAAUUCCACCAGGACAGAUGAGCCCGGGGUGGAGUCCGCGGUGUUGUCCAGGCACCAGUCCUCUCAAGGCUGACCUGCAACGGCUGCUGUGGGUCCAGCGGCAAAGCGGCCAGCAGCCUCCCAGCCGCGCCCUGGUUCAGCUCCGCGGGCGCCUUUGUCACCACCUGUGUCUUCGCUGUCUCCAGAUGGGGCUCUCCCUGCUGCUUUGUUUUAGCUCCAUCAAGUGAGACAUAAAAAGCUGUAAGCACGGAAGUGGCAGCAGGCUAGGGAUAGGACACCCCCUCUGCGGAGAGUGUGUGGCUCUGCACGGGCAGCUGAUUUGGGACAACUUAACUACGCUGGCAGGUCUGGGAUGAUGGGAAGUCCCACAAUGCAUCCUCGUGACCUGACCAGCUGCUCAAGCCGCCAUCCAAAUUGUUCCCUGCAUACAAAAUGUCUCUUCUCUGUGUAUAUUUCAUUUUUGCCAUACUUUAUCCUUAUUAUUUUUAAACACAACUACAUCAUGCACAUGUUCUCAUUCUAAGACAUUUUAACAACACAGUGAUGUACAAAGCUAAGGUGAUUCCAGUUUUUUCCUUUGACCUCCUUGCUCCUGCUUUGGGGGCCAGCAGCAAACACUUGGUUGCACAGUGUGCGUCCUGCCGGGGGCUCUUCUCAGUCACGUGACCAGUGCAUGCACAGGCGCCCAGGUCUCUGUGCUUUUUGCUUCCUGACAUAAACCAGAUUGCACCAGAGCCCAGGAAGCAGGGCUGUCACUGCUGACAGAUCCGGAAGUCAGAGAAGCACUGGGUACCUCAACAAUGUCCGUGGAGGGGCGGGCAUUGUGGUCAAGUGGAUUAAGCCACACUCCGUGUCACCUGCAUCCCAUUUCAAUGCUGAUUUGAGUCCCAGCUGUUUUGCUUCCAAUCCAGCGCCCUGCUAAUGCCCCUGGGACAGCAGCUGAAGAUGGCCUAAGUACUUGGAUACCUGAAAACAUAAGGAGACCCAGAAGAAGCCUAGUUCCUGAAUUUGGCCUGGCCCAGCCUUGGACAUUUUGACUAUUUGGGCAGUGAAUCAGCUGAUGGAGAUCUCUCUGUCUCUUAAUUCUGCCUUUCAAGUAAAUAAUAUAAAUCUUUGUUAAAAAGUUCAUGGAAAAUGCAUUUUAAUGAUGUUACUUUAGUGCAAAAUUUAAAAAAAAAAACCAUGCAAAUGCAGCAUUUUCAAAAAUGUCAUGGAAAGUGUUUUUACGGGAAACAUGCAUUCUUUUCAAAUAUUUUUGCACCAAAAUAAAUUUAUAUCUCAAUUCCA
ensembl:lncRNA